rnacentral:rRNA from 1 species
GUGAGGAAUAUUGGUCAAUGGGCGAGAGCCUGAACCAGCCAAGUAGCGUGCAGGAUGACGGCCCUAUGGGUUGUAAACUGCUUUUAUCGGGGGAUAAAGUGAGGGACGUGUCCCUUAUUGUAGGUACCCGAUGAAUAAGGACCGGCUAAUUCCGUGCCAGCAGCCGCGGUAAUACGGAAGGUCCGGGCGUUAUCCGGAUUUAUUGGGUUUAAAGGGAGCGCAGGCUGAUUAUUAAGCGUGACGUGAAAUGUAGCCGCUCAACGGCUGAACUGCGUCGCGAACUGGUAGUCUUGAGUGAGUUCGAUGUUGGCGGAAUUCGUGGUGUAGCGGUGAAAUGCUUAGAUAUCACGAAGAACUCCGAUUGCGAAGGCAGCCAACAAGGCCUUUACUGACGCUAAAGCUCGAAGGUGCGGGUAUCGAACAGG